CAGGCACACUAAUUAGUGGUUUGGCAGCUGGGGAGGACAGGAGGGACUGCGGUGGGCCAGGCCCUGAGGCUGCCCAGGCUCCUCUGGAGGAAGGCAGGACGUAGCCACGUCUGCAGGGCUUGGCAGAGAGGUGGAAGUGGUCCAUCUGUUGGGAAGGCAUGGGGCUGGCUUGGAGGGUGCUUGUAGGAAAGAUCAAGCCAGUGGAGUCGAAACGUACCCGAGUGUGAAUCCUGGUGCUGCCACUUGCUCACUGUGUGUCUCUAGGCCACACUGAAUCACUCUGACACCCAGCCUCUCUGCAGGGCUCAGACCUAGGCACCAAAGGGGCUAUGAAGAAACGAGAGUCGGUUUCCCUGCUCAUCGAUGCCUUGGAAGCUGCCUGGGCAGGCUGGGCCCAACAGGAAGGACUUGGAGAGCUGCAGAGGCUGGGAUCAUGUGGCAGAUUUGGCCCCAGUGGAAUGGCUCAGUGAGAGAAGCCAGGUCAUGACUCGGUGUCCAAAUAUGAUUCUCAGUCCAGGAUCAUGUGAAUCCAAAGCUCCCAGAAGCCAUCUUGUUGCCACAUAAAAGAGAAAAAACAGGACUGAGAGAUGAAUGAGGUCCCAGUGACACUGGAUCCAGCUGUUCCUGAGGCCACACCCGCCACCCUUUGGAUUUCCCUGGAACUUAAGCCAAUAGAUUCCCUUUCGUGUUAAAAUUUAUUUGAGUAGGCCUUCUCUCAUACAGAAAAAUCAUGGAAGUAGGCUAAAGACAUUCUCAUUGGCAUCUAGCCAGCUUGCUAGAGCAUUUGGAGCCACAGCUUUACCUAGUAAUCAAGGUUUUUUUUUGUUUGUUUGUUUUUGUUUUUUGCCAGCGCCAUUCUUUGUACAUAUACUAUAUUUUCUUGAUUCAAGCACGCCAUCAAUAAUAACAUGUGUCGUCAAUUUAAUUAGGGCUUUUUGGGAAAAAGAGAGAAAGAAAAACACAGCAUAAACUGCAUUUGUUGAUAGUAAGAUUUGUUUUGAUUUCCAAAAGGUUAAACUAUUGGUUAGGGUGUAGGAGGGGAGGGAGUACAUCUUGCAAUUGAGAAUAUAUGAAAUCUCCCUAGGGGGCUUUUUAGAACGAGAUGGCCUGAGGUAGGGUCCAAGUAUUCCUAUGGCCUGGUCAAAUAGCAUCUUAAUUCCACCUAAUCUAUUAUUUCCAACUCUCUCCUACAUGUAGGAGCUUGAUGUUGUUCUGAGAGUGUUCCCCAUCUGGCUCUGGACUUGCCAAUCCUCACUCGCUCUCCUUCUUCCUCAGCAAUUACCUCUUCUCAAUCCUUUCUGGGCUGGGCUGAGCCCUGACCUGGGGGUCAUUCGACAAUUACCCCUGAAGACAAUGGGCAUGGAUGGCUCAGCAGCUGUAGAAUCCCCCACCACUUUCCAUCAGUGGCUCUUCAUGCUGACAUGGGAAACCCAUGAACAGAGUUCCCAUUUAAAGAAAGUGACCUCUCAAUAAGAAAGCUAAUUAGAUACGAGAGAGAGAAAUCUUCCCAGAGUAAUAGGAAGAGCUCCCAAACCCAAGCACAUUCAGCUAGGGAGACCCUCUCUGCCUUGGCCAAGAGGCAGAGGGAGAGUGAAAGACCUACUUCCUGGGCAAUGACGGGUCAUGUGCUCAUUUCUGGCUUAGGCAUUUUAUGGGUGCAUCUGUGAUAGUGAAAAUACAGACAGUGCUUAGGCUAUGGGAGAGGAUUAGGUGGGGAGAGAAAAGAGAACUUUUAAAUGCUCCUAAUAUCUCACUUGCCAGGAAUCCUCCACUUCCCCUUUGUAGAACCAAUCUGUGAUUUAUUUAUGAUUAGGUGUAACCCAUAUGGCUACUGCAGGCUCUACCACGCCCAGGCCUUGAAUGUGGUCCUGACUAGGGCAAGGACAUCAUUAGAAGGUGGAGUCCAAAUUAGCCAUGUGGCCACAGGCCCAAUAUUAUGAGUCAAGAGGAGCCCAUCAAGCUUGAACCUUCCUUGCACUCACCGGUUUGGUAUAGUGUCUAUGACUGAGUUUCUGCCUCAGUUUCCUUGACUCAUGCUAUAGGUCUCCUAGCACUGGAACCUUGUCAGAUUCUGGUCACCAAGGUUUGGGACACUGCUGAGCUCAAGAGUCUUUCUUCCAUGGAUGGCUCCUACUCCUCUGAUACCUCAGAUUUGUAUUCUAGCAGAGCCUAUGCAGCCUGCUUCCCAGGUAUAAGCAUCAAUCAUGCACACUGUUAUGAUGCUAUCCUCUCUGCCAUCCAGCAAUAUGCUCUGUGAUGCCUGAGGUCAGAAAUGACACAAAUAGCACAUGUGCCACUAUUUUGCUCAUCCACCCCCAUGCAGACAUCACUAAUUGAUCUCUGCCCUCUUCUCAGUGAAUCUAGAUGUGGUCUGAACACAUGGUUUUUGUCAACCACAACCAAUUGACUGAUAUUGGCAAUACAAGACAAAGUCCAUUUGCCCUCACUACCAUAUCCUUCUAUCAGUAUAUACUUGGCCCUCUUAGAACUCCAGCCCAUCUUGGUUCAUCACUCACUCCAUCCUGAAUCCCAGCCAAAUACAAAGCCAAGGUGCCUCAGUCUAGAGAACCUUUGAGACAGUCCUCCCAGACCUCAUCAGGGUCCCUUAGUCCUUAACUCAGAGAUUAAUAUCUUGCCUAGAGGAUGGGGAUGCUGUACGUUGCACCUGGAGAAUUCUGUGUCCCCAAGACCCCACCUACACCUGCUUCUAUUAUUCCAGGAGCUUCAACCUAGAGCCGCCAAUAGAUCAACUGCUCCUAUUCCACCCCAUCCCACCCCAGAUCUCAUUACCUGACCCUCUCACCACCGUUCACCUCCACACUGUUUCCAGAGGAACUUCUCUAGAGUAUAAAUAACAGAUAAAGAUAGGUGAGUAGCCUGGGUUUCCAGAGCCUCAGAAAGAAAUUAUUCUAGGGCUUAUCAAACACUUCAUUGUUUUGCAAUUGCUGGUUGACAGGUUUGUCUGUCUUACUUGUGAGCUCCUACAAGUCACCAAAAGACUUGGUCCUGUUUAUCUUCAUUUUUUUUCCAUCUAAUAACUAGCACAAUGCAAGGUGGGAUGAAUAAGCAAAUGAGCCACAGUUCAUUCUUGGGUACUAGGCUCAGGAAGUUCAUGCUCUCUGCCUUCUCAUCCCCUAUAAGCCACCAGCCAUGUCCAGUGUGGAGUCGUAACUACCCCAAGGUUCCCCAGGUCCAAGACAGUAAAGGCCCCCAAGGAGUAUGCAAGUGCUGGUGAGGAAGGUGAGUGUCCCCCAGGGAUUCCACUGCCAGACUCUCUCAGGCAUGGAAACUGUGACACGCUCCCAUCUAGCCAUAAAAAAUGUUCUCUCCCGGGGCAGAAUGCUAGCUCACUGCCUCUGGAGAUUCUGCAUCUAGUCUGGAAAGAGGCAUGCCCUGUGAAUGACCAGAGCAUCCUGGUGCCCACUUCUGGUGGAACCUAAAAAAGGACCUUUAUUUAAGUCGAAGUCCAGAAUUGCAUCCAAGAUGAUAAGCAGAGGACUGGCCCGCCUCGACCUGAAGCUCCCUCUCUGUCUCCAGGACUCAGACACCCCUGAGCAUCACGCCUGACCUCAGCCUCAUGGAAGUGACCUCAGCCUCAUGGAAGUGCCCACUCUGGGGAAAGCAUACAAGGAGCACUUACUCGGUCCUCUGUGGAUGGGAAGCAGGCCAGACCCUGGCCAUGGAACAACAAGCUUCUGAGAAACAGGAGUUCUGCUAAGAGUCCUACAGCUGUUGGGAUAUGGGCAAUCCCUCAAGAUUGGCCUCCUCUGACCCCUGUUGUUGAACCACCUUUUACCCAUCCAAUUUUAAACUAAUUGGUUUAAAAUUGUUAAUAUUCAGUGUUGGGGAGGGAGUGAAGAAAUGGGUAUGCAUUACUGAUAAGAACAUAAAUCUCCCUGGAAAGCAAUUUGAAGCCACAUACCAAAACUCUUUGAAAUGGCCAUGCCCUUAUAGAUUUAUUCUAAGGAAAUAAUCAGAUGCAUCCCAAUGAUUUAUGUAUAGGAAUGUUUCACGACAGCAUUAUCUGUCAAAGGGGAAGAGUAGAAACAAUCUAAAUUUAAACACAGGGGAUUGGCUGAAUAAUUAUAGCAAUAUAAAUAGCAUAAAUAUAUAUAUUUCGAAUUUUAUGCACUAAUAUGCACAUAUAUGCCUGGAAGAAUAAAUUACAUAUUAAUUGUGGUUAUAUCUAGGGGGUGUGAUAAUAGUUGAUUUUAAUUUUCUUCUUUGUGCUCUUGUGAAUGUCUCCCAUUUUCUUCCAUGAACAUGUAACACAAUCUGUAAAAGCAAGACAUGUGGUCUUGAAAAAAGAUGAGCAUAUCCAAGGCUGGCUGUCAAAAUGCAGUUUGAGUAUAAAUUGUUUGACUAUUUGAAAAAGCCUGGAGAUCUCACUUAAACCAACAAAUAAUUAUGCUUUAUGGAGUGCGCAAAACCAAAUCAGAAUUCUGAAAUUUGCUGUCAAUUCUCUGCACUCAUCUGUCACUGGCUCCAACUCCAAGUGGGCACAGGUGAAAAAUAAAACCACAGACGUGCUCCAUACUUUACGUUUACCACCCAUCUCCCCACAGGUUCCUUCAUUUCACCUUCCAAAGUACCCUGUGAAGAAGGCAGAGCAGGUGUCAGGAUUCAGCCUAUUUUAAUGCAGGAAGAAAUGAAGGUCCUGAAAGGUUAAAUGUCUCAUUCAUCUUGUCCCCCUAGUGAGCAGCAUGGCUGGGACUUUAACAUCGGGUUUUCCAACCCCAAAUCCCAACUCUUUUAGUUGUACCAUGUUGUUUCUUCUCAUACAAAGUACUGUGGAUGGGCAGAAGCUUCUGUGAGUCAAUACAAAGAACUGCUAGGUCUGAGUACUAAUAAAAAGAUGUAGGUUAAGUCAGUAGACUUGCGCCCAUCUGAAGGUGGUCUCUAGUUUUCUGCCUCAGGGCUCUAUCAUGAUGCUGUUCUGUUCAACAGAACUAAGGAGAACAAUAGGUUCACGUUCAAAAACUCUUUCUCACCUAAACACACAGAUGGGCAGCUUCUAAUAAAGUUGGAGCUUUGUAGGAAUAUAAGUGAAGUCUUACGAUAUUCAUUUAUUCAUUAAUAGCUUUGUAUUUAUCUGUGUGGUUGCUUGUUUAACAUCUCUUCCCCUACUAGGCUGUAAGUUCCAUGAGGACAGGGUGUGUGUUGUUCAUGACUAUAUUCCCAGUGCCUCUCAAGUGCUUUGCAUACAGUGGGUGCACCAUAACUAUUUGCUGAAUGAAUGAAUGAAUGUUGAUUUGACAUCUUCACAACCCUUCUCACCUCAGCCUGUUAUGGAAGAAAUUGAGGAUAUUUUGGUGUGAGCUCCCCAGCUUUCUUUGCCUACCCCAUCCACUUUGCCUACCCCAUCCACCCUCUGACACACACACAACACAACACACAACAUACCACACAAACUCACCCAUCCUUAACCACUUGGAGCCAGCUGCAGAGAAUAAGGGGCUCUUCCUCCUUCUCAGGACCCUUUCUCUCUCAGGACUUAGUGAUCCUUUUCUCUUUUUUCCAGCAAGCUCCAUUGGUUUUUAAACUCACCCUUGUCUCUCCUAUGAGAAAAACAAAGCCAAACAAACCCAGAACCCCAGCUGGCCCCACGUCUCCCCUUAUCAUUUUAAUGUCCUAUAAGAGGUGACCAGACACCCUUCUCUACUUGCUCACCUCCAAUUCUUGCCUCAGCCCCCUGAAUUGAGGGUCGGGGGUGGGGGAAGGUGGAAGGGCCUUCCACAGUGAACUCUGCAUACUCCAGGGUAGCAUCUGAGAGCUGAAGCCAGGAGACACUGUGCCGCCCUGAUCUUUCUGGGCCUUUACCCUGCUGACACCACUCCUGGAGCCUCUGACCCCAAUAUCUGCUCAAUCUACUCCCAGCUCUCCUGGGACCUCAGUGAUGGUCCCUCCAUGUAAGCCUCUUCCUCUGCCUGCCCUGGGUCUCUCCCAAGACUCCCUCGCUAACCACUGCCCUCCCCACUGAAACUGCCUCUCCCUGAGUGAUCUCACACCCUCCUGGAGGGUUAACUAGCAUAUAGUAGCGCUUAACUCCUAAAUCCAUCAGGAGUUUCUUUCCAAAAACUGCUGACUUCUUGGACAUUCUGCACAUUCCUUUGCCUUAUUGCUUCCUCCUACCCCCACUCCCCCACAUUUAAUAAAAUAUUAACUCCUGCUGAUUUCACUCCUAUGUGACUCAACCCUAGUCUCUCCCCUACAUCCCAUUCCCAUGGCCAUUAUCCUAGCUCACGUCUCAUCAUCUCUUAUCUGGACCAAGGCAAUGUUUUCCUAAGUGGGCUCCCAGCCUCCAGUCUUGCAUCCUUGCAAUCCAUUCUCCCUUCAGCAGCCAGAGUGAUCUUUUGAAAUGUCUAAUUGUGUCACCUCCUUGCUUCUAAGAGCCCUUCAGUGGCUCUCCAUUGUCUACAGGACAAUGUUCAGAUCCUUAAUAUUCAUACAGGUCUGUCUGCUGUAGAGCCUUCCUUGCCUUCUGAUACUAUUCCCAGAGACUGAAUCACAUGCAGCUUUCCACCACUCUAUGUGGGCCUUGGCCUCCAGUCUUUGCUCAGUCUUUCCUCUUUCUGUCUGGAAUCCCUUCCUCUCCACUUCUUCAUCCUUCCCUUAGUUCACUGACCCUCUUCCUGUAAGACUCAGCCACAGUGGUGCCACCUCCAGGAAGCAGGGCCUGUAAGGGAGUUAUCAUCCACAACCCUCUACCAUACUGGAUUAUAAGGAUAAUCCAUCAUCUACGAGCAUUUAAAAUGUGCCACAUAGUUUACCUGCAUUCUCCUGUUAUGUCCUUUUAACAGUAACUCUGUAAGGUAAGUUCUAUUGUUAGUCUCAUUUUAUAAACAUGGAAGCUGAGGCUUAGAGAGGUUCAGUGACUGGCCCGAGGUCACAAAGGGUGUAACCAAUGGAGCUGGACCCGAAUCCAGGUUGAUCGUCAGCAGGGCCUGCCACACUGACUCUCUUGAUUUUUUUUUUCUUUUUUUUCUUUUUUUUUGUGACGGAGUCUCGCUCUGUAACCCAGGUUGGAGUGCAGUGGCACGAUCUCGGCUCACUGCAAGCUCCGCCUCCCAGGUUCACGCCAUUCUCCUGCCUCAGCCUCCUGAGUAGCUGGGACUACAGGCGCCUGCCACCACGCUAGGCUAAUUUUUUGUAUUUUUAGUAGAGACGAGGUUUCACCGUGUUAGCCUCGGUGAAGGAUGGUCUCGAUCUCCUGACCUCGUGAUCUGCCCGCCUCGGCCUCCCAGAGUGCUGGGAUUAGAGGCAUGAGCCACCGCGCCUGGCCAGUGAUUUGUUUUUGAGCUUCCUUCUGCCUUGGGAAGGCCUAGCCACCUUCUUUUCAUCCUUUAGGUCUUUACUUCCUCUAGGAGGCCUUCCCUAACCCAUUCACCUUAAGUCUGGCUUGGAUGCCCUUCCAUUUCACUCCCAUGGUCCCGUGUCAACCCCUUCACAGCCUUGGUCACUGUGUUUUGACUACUGGUCUAGCCCCAAGCUGGGCUGGGGGCUCCAGGAGGUCUCAGGGAGAGGCUGCCUGUGCUCAUGAGUGAAUCCCCACUGCCUGGCACUGUGCUAGUAAUUCCUGAUCAGAUUACUACAUGCUUCCCUUCUUUUUCCCACCAGAGGCUGAGCCCCAGUCUAAUAACUCUUUCUAAUAACUUCUACAUAUAAAGGUGGGUUGGGGUGGACUGCUAUCAAAACUGACAAAAGUCCGGAAAUCAGUUUGGUAAACUGGCAAAGGAGUCCCAUUUCCAUUUGCUCUGAGGUGAGGUAAACGUUGCAGUGUUUCCAUCAAGAUGGGAAACAGAAACGAAGAGAGGCUAUGAGCACGUGCCUAAGAGAGUCCAUUCUUUCCCCACCCUAGUUCCCGGGGCCUCUCCACCAGUUUU
rnacentral:lncRNA from 10 species